GGGGAUAGCUCAGUGGUAGAGUGUAUGCCUAACACAAGGUCCUGGGUUCAAUCCCCAGUACCUCCU
rnacentral:tRNA from 1 species